rnacentral:rRNA from 1 species
UACAGAGGUCUCAAGCGUUGUUCGGAUUCAUUGGGCGUAAAGGGUGUGUAGGUGGCGCCGUAAGUCGGGUGUGAAAUCUCGGAGCUUAACUCCGAAACUGCAUUCGAUACUGCCGUGCUUGAGGACUGGAGAGGAGACUGGAAUUUACGGUGUAGCAGUGAAAUGCGUAGAGAUCGUAAGGAAGACCAGUGGCGAAGGCGAGUUUCUGGACAGUAACUGACGCUGAGGCACGAAGGCCAGGGGAGCAAACGGG